rnacentral:rRNA from 1 species
GACGAACCGAGCGAACGUUGUUCGGAAUCACUGGGCUUAAAGGGCGCGUAGGCGGGCGGCUAAGUCUGUGGUGAAAUCCUCCAGCUCAACUGGAGAACUGCCAUGGAUACUGGUUGUCUCGAGGAAGGUAGGGGUACGUGGAACUAUCGGUGGAGCGGUGAAAUGCGUUGAUAUCGAUAGGAACUCCGGUGGCGAAGGCGACGUACUGGACCUUUUCUGACGCUGAGGCGCGAAAGCCAGGGGAGCAAACGGG